UGGUGGUGUGAGGAGCAGUGAUGGCUGGCAUUAGGGGAUUGACUCUGGGACGCCAGUGAUCACUGUCUAGCCUCCUGGAGGUGUCGUGGGACCAACUAGACGAAACACUGGUGAAAGGAGGUUCCCACCUGAUGACCCCAAAGACAUGUUAGUUAUCACUGCUCAUUAGUCUGUACAGCUAAAUUAAUAGUUAUCAUAGGACAUGUUAAGCUUAGGGAGCUAUUCACUGAGUCUGGUCCAUUUUCUGUAGCACAAGCUUUGCGUUUAUCUUAAAAAAAAUAAAAUAAUGCGGGGCACCACCCGGAAACCGGGAACAAUAACCAAAUCAGUUUGUAGUCUCAUAACCUUAAUAGUUCACUCCAAGUAAUGGGUCUCUGGGUCAGGGACCGUGAGUAUUAAAUGAAGGAUUAAGUUCGAGCUCAGACCUUCUCAAUCAGUCAUGGAUCACAAUGAACAUACACAAUAAUGACCAAAGGGACGUCGAAUAUAUAAAUAUGUGCUGGUAUGUGUGGUAAAGAAUGAAUCUAUAUGUAAGUGUUUAUGUAGGUGUGGCAAAGAAAACAAAUGACUCACGGCGGAGCCGAACAACCACUGGAUGGGAGGAAUAGUUAUUCAGUCCACAGAGAGUGUGCGUACGGCUGUGAAGUGGUAUGCCCGUUGUCUGAUCGGUUAUAGGACUGAUCAACUCACUCCACACCCGUGUUGGCACAUGCAGCAGUCCUGUAACGGGACACACAGUUUAUCAGGAGCGGUGACUACCGGCACGCCUCACACAGCAGCCUCACCACUCUCAACUAUAUCAGGUCACGGACACGGCAGUCCGUAUUGUCACAAACAGCACACUUCGAACACAACAAAUCAAAGUUAAACUAACAUCCACAGCUAAGUUAUUACACGAUUACUACAGUCUCUGCCCAGAUGUAAACCUCUUACUUGGAUCGCCUCCAAGCGAUGGGGUGUGUAUCAGUCCGUCGGUGGAAUCCAACACGGUUGCUCCGAUGUGGUCCUGACGGUGCCGUCCUCGUUCGUGAGGGUUGCGGCGGCUGAUUUCUUGUUGGCAGUGAAGAAAACCAGCGAUGUCAACUUAAUUAGAGGGUAACGAACGUCGAGUUGUCCACGCCUCCGUGAAGAAUUUGCUUCUUCCUUCUGCAGACUCUACCUCGCUGCCACUUACUACAAUGAAAAUGCUGACAGACCACAAGCCCAAACAAAAGAAGGUGAACCACUGUUCAAGGUCCAAUUUCCAAAGGCCAUGAAGGGAGAAUGCAGAGCUAAACCAGGAAUGUGGUGGACCUCAUAUUUGAAAAAGUCUUUGAUGACCUGGGACCAUACACAGAAGCUGUUUUGGCCAUCCCCAUCCCAGAGGACCUCACUGCACAGUUCUAGCGGCCUGAGAAGGAGAAGGUCAUAUCCAGCUAUGUGUCCCGGUUCUAUCAUGGGGCAGUCUAAAACCCACGUACCGGCCUGUGGCGUCAGGAAACUCAGCACUGAUGUGUAGGACCAGGCAGGCUGGAAUGACGACCCAGAUUCUGCGACCAACGAAGCCCCAGCACCAGCUCACAAAGCUCCUAUAGGCUAGAUACCUGUACUGACUAAAACAACUGGACAGGGCAUUUAGUCUUGCAAACAUAUAUCUAUGAUGUGUCUCACAAUUUUUUUAUGGAUCCAGUGAAUCCUACAGCUUUUUUUACUAUCACUGAUUAUA